AGGUGUAGCCAGGUGGCCCCGCAGUAACUGGUUGUUUUGUUGUGUAUCCAGGGGAAGGUGACGGUGAUGCAGGUGUUGCGUCACUGGUGGGUGAGUCUGUUGCUUCAGUGAGAGGCGUUAAGGUGUAGCCAGGUGGCACCACAGUUACUGGUUGUUUUGUUGUGUAUCCAGGGGAAGGUGACGGUGAUGCUGGUGUUGCGUCACUGGUGGGUGAGUCUGUUGCUUCAGUGAGAGGCGUUAAGGUGUAGCCAGGUGGCACUGCAGUAACUGGUUGUUUUGUUGUGUAUCCAGGGGAAGGUGACGGUGUGGUCAGUGUUGCGUCACUGGUGGGUGAGUCUGUUGCUUCAGUGAGAGGCGUUAAGGUGUAGCCAGGUGGCACUGCAGUAACUGGUUGUUUUGUUGUGUAUCCAGGGGAAGGUGACGGUGAUGCUGGUGUUGCGUCACUGGUGGGUGAGUCCGUUGCUUCAGUGAGAGGCGUUAAUGUGUAGCCAGGUGGCACUGCAGUAAGUGGUUGCUUUGUUGUGUAUCCAGGGGAAGGUGACGGUGAUGCUGGUGUUGCAUCACUGGUAGGUUGGUCUGCCGUUUCAGUGAGAGGCGUUAAGGUGUAGCCAGAUGGCACUGCAGUUACUGGAUGUUUUGUUGUGUAUCCAGGGGAAGGUGACGGUGAUGUCGGCUCUGUAUCCCUUGUGGAUGGGUCUGUUGUUUCAGGGAGUGCCGUUAAUGUGUAGCCAGGUGGCACCAUAGUUGCUGGCUGUUUUGUUGUGUAUCCAGGGGAAGGUGACAGUGAUACUGGUGUUGCGUCACUGGUGGGUGAGUCUGUUGCUUCAGUGAGAGGCGUUAAGGUGUAGCCAGGUGGCACCACAGUUACUGGUUGUUUUGUUGUGUAUCCAGGGGAAGGUGACGGUGAUGCUGGUGUUGCGUCACUGGUGGGUGAGUCUGUUGCUUCAGUGAGAGGCGUUAAGGUGUAGCCAGGUGGCACUGCAGUAACUGGUUGUUUUGUUGUGUAUCCAGGGGAAGGUGACGGUGAUGCUGGUGUUGCGUCACUGGUGGGUGAGUCCGUUGCUUCAGUGAGAGGCGUUAAGGUGUAGCCAGGUGGCACUGCAGUUACUGGUUGUUUUGUUGUGUAUCCAGGGGAAGGUGACGGUGAUGCUGGUGUUGCGUCACUGGUGGGUGAGUCUGUUGCUGCAGUGAGCGGCGUUAAGGUGUAGCCAGGUGGCACCAUAGUUACUGGUUGUUUUGUUGUGUAUCCAGGGGAAGGUGACGGUGAUGCUGGUGUUGCGUCACUGGUGCGUGAAUCCGCUGCUUCAGUGAGAGGCGUUAAGGUGUAGCCAGGUGGCACUGCAGUUACUGGUUGUUUUGUUGUGUAUCCAGGGGAAGGUGACGGUGAUGUCGGCUCUGCAUCCCUUGUGGGUGAGUCUGUUUUUUCAGGGAGUGCCGUUAACGUGUAGCCAGGUGGCACCAUCGUUGCUGGCUGUUUUGUUGUGUAUCCAGGGGAAGGUGACGGUGAUGCUGGUGUUGCGUCACUGGUGGGUGAGUCUGUUGCUUCAGUGAGAGGCGUUAAGGUGUAGCCAGGUGGCACUGCAGUUACUGUUUGUUUUGUUGUGUAUCCAGGGGAAGGUGAUGGUGUGGUCAGUGUUGCGUCACUGGUGGGUGAGUCUGUUGCUUCAGUGAGAGGCGUUAAUGUGUAGCCAGGUGGCACCACAGUUACUGGUUGUUUUGUUGUGUAUCCAGGGGAAGGUGACGGUGUGGUCAGUGUUGCGUCACUGGUGGGUGAGUCUGUUGCUUCAGUGAGAGGCGUUAAGGUGUAGCCAGGUGGCACCACAGUUACUGGUUGUUUUGUUGUGUAUUCAGGGGAAGGUGACGGUGAUGCUGGUGUUGCGUCACUGGUGGGUGAGUCUGUUGCUUCAGUGAGAGGCGUUAAGGUGUAGCCAGGUGGCACUGCAGUAAGGGGUUGUUUUGUUGUGUAUUCAGGGGAAGGUGACGGUGAUGCUGGUGUUGCGUCACUGGUGGGUGAGUCCGUUGCUUCAGUGAGAGGCGUUAAGGUGUAGCCAGGUGGCAAUGCAGUAAGUGGUUGCUUUGUUGUGUAUCCAGGGGAAGGUG